AUUUAUUUGUUACAAGUCCUUCACUCAACCUUAAAUCAUGAGCAUGAAACAAAAUUUUGGUUUAGAUUAAAACAUGAAAUUCUUCCCAGUUACAUUCUACAUGGCUUGAGCUUGCCAUUUUAUAUUAUAGAAAACCAGCUUAUUUGAUACAUGAUUUCUCCCAAAAUUUAGUUUCAUAUAUUUCCAUCUCCAAGUCCAAAUCAAUUUGUUGGAGCUGUGAUGAGAUGCUGUUUGUCAAAAAUGGUCUUUCUUGCUAUUUUAAUCAUUCUCCUCCAUAUUCAACUUCUCCUGUAUCCAAGCUGCAAAAGAAAACCAGUAAAGUAUAAGCAAAACUGUUCAGUUCACUAAACUCAAGUAGAAGAAAUGAUUAUCCUAAUUUACAACAAUGAUGAUGAUACUAGGUAAACUGUGCGGCCAGUUCUAAUUUAUAGUUGAUCAAAGCUGAUUCAGAUAGAUCUUUGGAAUUAAAAAUUAGGUCACUUACCUUUCCAGAGUAGCAUCUUGCAGGUAAUCAUCAACAUGGAAAUAAUCAUCCAAGUGUUGUUGAAAUAAGGAAUUCUCCUUUGCAUUCUCUCCAACACUGCCAUUUAACCAAUAUGGCAUGUCUAAGGCCUCAUCAAAGGCAUAGAUCCAAUCUCCAUUGGCUCCACCAUGACCCUCACCCACACCACUUUCCAUGUUCUUCAAGAACUUACUCCACCAUGCUGAUGUUGCCAAGUUCAUUUUAUCAUUCCAUUCUAUAUCAUGUUGUUCUCCAAUGGAUUGAAUUUCAGCCAUCUCCUCAUCAUCCAUUGCCUGGUGCAGUGAGACCGAUGAAGGAUCGAAUGCAACUUGUGACGGUUGCUGAGAACUGGCUGGCCCUUGGAUGCCUGACAUUGCAUUAGAAGUAGAGUUUGAAUAAGAUGACAACAAAACUUGUGAUGAUGAUGAUGUCGAUGAUGAUGAUGGCUCAACAGGAUUUUGCUCGUGAAUGUCGUGAUAAAUGGAUGUAUCAAUAUUUUGGAAACUUUGGAGAUUGAGAUUGAGGCCUAAUGGCUGAUCGGGCAAUUGGAAGUUGAGUUGAUCAAAGAUUGAUUCAGUAGGUGCAAUGGAUGGAUAAGUCCAAGAGAAGGGGGAAGAAAAGUCGAUGGGUGAGAAUUGAGAAGGAUGAAAGUAGUUAGUUAAGUUGUGGUCGGAAUGAUGGUCUAUGGAGUUUCUUAUAGAAUCCACCACCAGCUCAUGGGAUGUCCCUUGCAAAGUCGAUGCCGUCGCCAUGCUUUGGAGUUCGUUGGCUUGCUUCAUGGAAGCUCUAUGCAAUUUGAGGGCAGCUACAAUCUCUCUUCUCGCUUCUGCCAUAUUGAACAAUCUUUCCUGGUAAGGCCUAGUCGUGUGGAGUCUUCUUCUCACUUGUUUCUUCAGUGGUAGUGACUUCGGUGAUCCUGACUGUGACUUAUUGAGGAGAUUUAUGUCUUUGCCAUCUUCAAGCUCCAUUUUUGCUGGACCUCUAGACCUCGAAUAACUGAGUCUUUUGACAAGACUGCGAAUGUAUGCACCAGAAACAUGAGCUUCUUCUUGGUCAUUUGGUUUCCUCUCAACAUCCCUACUGAAUUGCUCGGAACAGGAGAUGCUUCUCAUAUCUCUCUCUCUCUUGGAAGAUAAACUACAAUCACUUUUCUAAUUCUGGAAGACAAGUACAUAAACGGCCUUCUGGGUUGCUUUAAAUAGUAGAAAGCAUCGUAGCAUCUCCCAAUUUUUUCCGAAUUUCGCAAGAAAACAAAAUAUUUCUGAUCUCCUAUAUGCUUUGGCAGUUGAGGUAAUCUUUGGCUCGUGAUCGGAAGAAACUACCAGAUGCCAUUUUUUUUUUCAAGAUUACCAAGUCAUUCACUGUGGAUUUUGAAUGGGACCACAUCAUUUAAUCAAGCUCACAGAAGUCUACAGCUACAUAACGAUGAAGUUUGGUAUACAGAGAAUUCAAUUUGUGGGUAACUUCUCCUAUCGACAGUCGAUUGUCUGUGAAAUGCCUAUGAUGAGGAUCUCCUUUUGAAAAGGGAUUCGACUAAGAACAAAUUUAUCAAGUUCAUAAUCUAUAGUUUCAUGAUAUUGGCGUAAACAUGCAUCUUUUGUAAUGACUAUCUUAAGAUAUCAAUGAGAGCAUUGAAUUUGUGUU